rnacentral:rRNA from 1 species
AAUCAACGCUGGCGGCGUGCCUAACACAUGCAAGUCGAACGCGAGAGGGGCUUCGGCCCCGAUUGAGUGGCGAACGGGUGAGUAACGCGUGGGUGACCUACCUUCGAGUGGGGGAUAACGUCCCGAAGGGACGCUAAUACCGCAUAACAUCCUGCUUUUGAAUGGGUGGAGAUCAAAGCCGGGGAUCGCAAGACCUGGCGCUUGAUGAGGGGGCCCCGCGUCUGAUUAGCUAGNGGUGAGGUAACGGCCCACCAAGGCAACGAUCAGUAUCCGGCCUGAGAGGGCGGACGGACACACUGGGACUGAGACACGGCCCAGACUCCUACGGGAGGCAGCAGUGGGGAAUUGUUCGCAAUGGGCGCAAGCCUGACGACGCAACGCCGCGUGGAGGA